CAGUCACAGGAGAUGAAAGAUUUCAAAACCCUGUUGCUGCUCUGCUGUCCAGUAGAGAUGUAUUGGAUCUUCGAGGAACACAUUCUCUCUAACAGUCCAUGUUUCUGUGUGUAUAUUCAAACAAGAGAGAAGGCGGCCAGGGAACCCUAAAAGCAAAGCACGGGUCUCCAUGAAAAGGGCCCAAUGUCUAGGAGAUUCCAUGGGACUUAGCAGCCACCAAAUACUUUGCUUGUUUUACUAGCUAGGGCAAACUCCUCUCCUCCCAAUGGAAACUCCUGGGAAAAGGUUUGUGAAGGAAACCUCAAGUUGCAACAAUCCUUUGCUGCCUGUUCUACUUUCCUUUGAGAAAUUUUAAGGUGGGCUGCUAAAAAGUGAGAUAAUGAGAGCUCUUUGCCUGGCUACAGCUAGUUCAUGUGGUCAGGAAGGUGAGCAAAAAUAUUUUAAACUCAUUUCUCCCCUUCCCUCCCCCCCAAAUUGAUGACAUUUGUGUGUUCUCCCUGAGCCAGCCUGAAAAAAUGAAAUUUACUGUUUGAAGCUGUUAUACCAAUAAAAACUAGCAGGAUCUUAUUAAAGGGGACA
rnacentral:lncRNA from 1 species